rnacentral:rRNA from 1 species
UUCGUAGAAGGUGCUUCGGGCAAGGUCUAGAUCCAAGUCCCUUGGAACAGGGCGUCCUAGAGGGUGAGAAUCCCGUAUGUGGCCGAUGACCGAGCCUGUGUGAAGCCCUUUCGAAGAGUCGAGUUGUUUGGGAAUGCAGCUCUAAAUGGGUGGUAAAUUUCAUCUAAAGCUAAAUAUCUGUCGGAGACCGAUAGCGCACAAGUAGAGUGAUCGAAAGAUGAAAAGCACUUUGAAAAGAGAGUCAAACAGUACGUGAAAUUGUUGAAAGGGAAGCGCUUGCAACCAGACUCGUUCGCGGGUGCUCAGCCACUCUUCGGGGUGGUGCACUCUCCCGCCGCGGGCCAGCAUCGGUUUCGACGAUUAGAUAAAGGCCUUGAUAACGUAGCUCCUCGGAGUGUUAUAGAUCAUGGCGCAAUGUAAUCAGUCGGGACCGAGGAAUGCGCAUUGCUAGGAUGCUGGCGUAAUGGUUGCCAGCGACCCGUCUUGAAACACGGA